AACGAACGCUGGCGGCAUGCCUAACACAUGCAAGUCGAACGAGACCUUCGGGUCUAGUGGCGCACGUGUGCGUAACGCGUGGGAACCUGCCCUUAGGUUCGGAAUAACUCACCGAAAGGGGCGCUAAUACCGGAUAAUGUCUUCGGACCAAAGAUUUAUCGCCUUUGGAUGGGCCCGCGUUGGAUUAGCUAGUUGGUAGGGUAAAAGCCUACCAAGGCGACGAUCCAUAGCUGGUCUGAGAGGAUGAUCAGCCACACUGGGACUGAGACACGGCCCAGUCUCGUACGGGAGGCAGCAGUGGGGAAUAUUGGACAAUGGGCGAAAGCCUGAUACAGCAAUGCCGCGUGAGUGAUGAAGGCCUUAGGGUUGUAAAGCUCUUUUACCCGGGAUGAUAAUGACAGUACCGGGAGAAUAAGCUCCGGCUAACUCCGUG
rnacentral:rRNA from 1 species